GCUAUACCUGCUAUACGUCUCCCGUGACAGCUGUACCAGCGAUUGACGACUUAAGACACCAUAUAGUAUACCACUUCACCGACUCCUUUCACCGCCGGGUUCUAAGCUGUGAAGCGUGCUCGAAGCUUUGCGUCGCGCCAAUCAACCGGAGGAUAACGAAGCAACUGUCGUCGCCACGUGCCUCCCAGCUAACCUACAAGGUGAAUCGAGUGCAACCAAGUGACCGUGUCACUACUCCGGGGGACAACGCAACCAAGUGACCGUGGCACGUCUCCGAGGGACAACGGAGCAACCGUCGUCGCUACGUUCGAUCUUCGGCAGUGAUAUUCACCAGGUGCGAUUCUAGCUUGCGAGGGUGGCGCGGCCAAUAAAUCAACUAAAUGGCAAUGUUAACUGUUUUAGACUGAUUGGCAAGAAAAGGCCGCUGCCACAUUGGGUCGUCGUCGUGACGGAAGCGGAGAGGACUGGGUGGGGCGAUUGUAGCUUUAGGCUUAGCUAACACUAGGCAGGGUAGCUCACGCUGCGCAGGCUCCAGCUGGCAGGGAGUCCUCUCUCGUUUGCGACACGGACAUCGGCCCAUUCCGAGUGCUAUUGCUUCCCGGUCAUAAUUUCGCGUGUCGGCGCACUCGAGAUGUGGAAGUAAAUUGCACCCGGAAUUAAUUAGUGCCAGGUUUCUUACAGCAAAACAGAAGAAGAACGGACGUUGCCUACGGUCUGCAGCGCGGUGCGCUGCGGCGAAGACGGUGGUGGGUGGACGCAUUUUUCGUUUCUUUUUUUUUUUUUUUUUUUUGUCUUCCGUAUGUUCUCGUCCCUAUUGCUGUGUCACACCGCGCUUUCCUCGCUCGACAAGCCAACCACCGUGGACUAGUCCCAUUGCCCACUCCAGAGCGAUGACGCUUGGUGAGUACGUGCUUUCUGGUUACUUUCGUCAUUUAACAAGUGCCUCCCCCCCCCCCCCCUUUUUUUUUAAUAGGCUUCAGAUCUGCAACCUGUACCUUGGCCCCUGGCACAUGUUCCUGCACCCAGCCGUGUCUAGCACAGAUCACGUUCGGCACCCGUCUGUCGUCCGGCAGCUGAUCGGGACUUCACUUCUGUUCCUGCCUCACUGCUAUUGGUGGCUUGCUGAAUGAAGAUGCCUGCAUCUCUGUGCUGCAGUACGUCGACUGCACUCCGCAUCCUUUACUGCCAGUCGCAUGCGACGAAUUUUCCUGCACCCGGCCGUGUCUCGCACAGAUGAUGUUCAGCACUUGUCAUCCCACGGCUGAUCGUGUCACUUCUGUUCCUGCCUCAUUGCUUCUGGUGUCCUGCUGAAUGAAGAUGCUUGCAAUCUCCGUGCUGCAGUACGUCUACUGCAUUUUGCAACCCUUGUCUCGACAUCUGCCAUCCAUCAAGGUUGUCCCACCAGCGUAAUAGGCAAUGACACCAAGUGCAGACCGUAUGGAGGCAGGCGUUUCUCUCGCCACUCAUCGCAUUGCUGCUCCCGAAAACGUCGUGCUGCAGGAAACGUUCUUCGCUGCCUCGACGAGGCCACACAACUAUGAAGUCCCAAGAAACAGCACGACGUUGCGUGACAUGAAUGCUCAUCCCAGUUGAAGUUGUUCGUUCCACCCUAUAGAAGAUGACGCCACUCGAUGAAGUCACAUGUUAUUCAGUGGCUGUGACCGUAUGAUCUGGGUACCGAAAAAUCCCAGGUACCAUGCUGUUCUAUAGUUCAUCGUAGUGGUACACUGCUCAGACUCUAGCAUUGGGUUGAUGUGGGGAUUCUUGCUUCUUACGUUCAUUGGCAUUCUGUGCUUUUGUGAUGGUACAACGAUGCUGCUUUGCGUUUCCGAAUUGUGUGCGCGCGCGCAUUAGCGUGUGUGUGUGUGUGUGUGUGCGCGCGCGCAUGGGCGUGUGUGUGUGUGUGUGCGCGCGCGCGCAUUGGCGUGUGUGUGUGUGUGCGCGCGCGCAUGGGCGUGUGUGUGUGUGUGUGCGUGCGCAUUGGUGUGUGUGUGUGUGUGUGCGUGCGCGCGCAUUGGCGUGGGUGUGUGUGUGUGUGUGUUUCAUCUGGCAGUUAACAUCAUUCCGGCUGGGGCGCAUUUCCAAUUCAUCCACGAAUUGUUUGACUAGUUUCUUGCAAAUCGUGAUUUCCUUCAGUAAGGUCGUCGAAUACUCAGCAAUGAUGGUUGCGAAUUGUUUCGGAAACUCUUGCAACAUUUGCACUGUACAACUCGCCCACUCGUAUAUUUAGUCGUGGCACUUUGGUAUUGGUAUUCCAAGGAAUUUCUGUUGGUAUCUUUUUCCUUAUUCACAUAUUCUUUGUCUUUCAAGUGACUCAUCAUGGACAAUGCAAAACAGCAUCAAUGUACCAUUGCAAUAAGCACAUGGUGUUAAUUAAAGGCAUUAAUUAUUAUUAUUAUAAGCACAUCCUUUAAAAUCUGGUGCCGGCAUGGCACCAAGCCGUUACAUUUUUUUUUACCUGUCUGCUGUCAUUAAUGAUGCUGAUAAUAAGCAGUGUACCACCCGAAAGGCAGUUUCUGGAUCGCUCUUCAGACACUACCACACAAGCCUGCUGUGUUAACCAGACUGUUUUUCAUAGUUCCUUUUGUCCUACAUGAGUGUUCACUGCCCUGUGUAAAUUUACCUGCCUGUGUUUAUUUACUGGACAUUUCUAUGACGUGCAAAAUUUGCUCACUGAUAUUCCCUGGAACUGAAUAAAAUAGCGAGGAUGUUUUUUUUUCUUUAUCGUACCUUUCUUGCACUGUUUUCCCCUAUGUGAAAAAGAUUGUCAGAACUACCUCUUACACAAU